AACCUCUUCCCUGGGGUUAGAAUUUGCAGUAACAGGUGUGGACAUCCUAGCAGCAGUUUGGUGGUCAUGUAUGAUACUGCAAACAGGAGCCCUGCUGAAGCUGUGGGGAC
ensembl:miRNA Mir6516 microRNA 6516